CCNNAAUGGACGAAAGUCUGAUGGAGCAACGCCGCGUGAGUGAUGAAGGCUUUAGGGUCGUAAAACUCUGUUGUUGGAGAAGAACGUGUGUGAGAGUAACUGCUCAUGCAGUGACGGUAUCCAACCAGAAAGCCACGGCUAACUACGUGCCAGCAGCCGCGGUAAUACGUAGGUGGCAAGCGUUAUCCGGAUUUAUUGGGCGUAAAGCGAGCGCAGGCGGUCUUUUAAGUCUAAUGUGAAAGCCUUCGGCUUAACCGAAGAAGUGCAUUGGAAACUGGAAGACUUGAGUGCAGAAGAGGACAGUGGAACUCCAUGUGUAGCGGUGAAAUGCGUAGAUAUAUGGAAGAACACCAGUGGCGAAGGCGGCUGUCUGGUCUGUAACUGACGCUGAGGCUCGAAAGCAUGGGUAGCGAACAGGAUUAGAUACCCUGGUAGUCCAUGCCGUAAACGAUGAAUGCUAAGUGUUGGAGGGUUUCCGCCCUUCAGUGCUGCAGCUAACGCAUUAAGCAUUCCGCCUGGGGAGUACGACCGCAAGGUUGAAACUCAAAAGAAUUGACGGGGGCCCGCACAAGCGGUGGAGCAUGUGGUUUAAUUCGAAGCUACGCGAAGAACCUUACCAGGUCUUGACAUCUUCUGCCAAUCUAAGAGAUUAGACGUUCCCUUCGGGGACAGAAUGACAGGUGGUGCAUGGUUGUCGUCAGCUCGUGUCGUGAGAUGUUGGGUUAAGUCCCGCAACGAGCGCAACCCUUAUUAUUAGUUGCCAGCAUUAAGUUGGGCACUCUAGUGAGACUGCCGGUGACAAACCGGAGGAAGGUGGGGACGACGUCAAAUCAUCAUGCCCCUUAUGACCUGGGCUACACACGUGCUACAAUGGACGGUACAACGAGUUGCGAGACCGCGAGGUUUAGCUAAUCUCUUAAAACCGUUCUCAGUUCGGACUGCAGGCUGCAACUCGCCUGCACGAAGUUGGAAUCGCUAGUAAUCGCGGAUCAGCAUGCCGCGGUGAAUACGUUCCCGGGCCUUGUACACACCGCCCGUCACACCAUGAGAGUUUGUAACACCCAAAGCCGGUGGAGUAACCUUCGGAGCUAGCCGNNUAA
rnacentral:rRNA from 1 species